rnacentral:lncRNA from 10 species
GGUAACCCCCUUGGAUCCCCUUCCACACUGUGGGAGGUUUGUUCUUUUGCUCUUUGCAAUAAAGCUUGCUGCUGCUCACUCUUUGGGUCCAGACUGUCUUUAUGAGCUAUAACACUCACCGGGAAGGUCUGCAGCUUCACUCCUGAAGCCAAGGAGACCACGAACCCACCGGGAGGAAGGAACAACUACAGACACGCCGGCUUAAGAGCUGUAGCACUCACUGCGAAGGUCCGCAGCUUCACUCUUGAGCCAGAGACCACGAACCCACCAGAAGGAAGAAACUCCAAACACAUCCGAACAUCAGAAGGAAAAAACUCCAGACACGCCGCCUUUAAGAACUGCAACACUGCGAGGGUCCGCGGCUUCAUUCUUGAAGUCAGUGAGACCAAGAACCCACCAAUUCCAGACACACUACCAAAGGCAGAGGGGAGCUCCUAGACAAAGAUAUUUUGCUUACAAAUGGAACAUAUCAAAUCAAGCUUUUGUGAACUUGAGGGAAGAAACAAAGAAUAUGAAGCCUAAAUGGAAGUGUCAGGAAAUGGUCGCCUUGCGGACAAGGAAACAGCAGCCUGGAAGGCCAGGAGAGGGCAGACUACCCACCUAACCCUCUGCAGAAUUUUGUGUGGACCCUGGAGACCAGAAACUAACUUCUCCUGCAGAGACAAGGUCUUGCUCUGUCACCCUGGCUGGUCUUGAACUCCUGGCUUCAAGCAAUUCAUCCAUCUCAGCCUCCUGAGUAGCUGGGAUUACAG